rnacentral:rRNA from 1 species
AGAGUUUGAUCCUGGCUCAGGAUGAACGCUAGCGGGAGGCCUAACACAUGCAAGCCGAGCGGUAUUGUUUCUUCGGAAAUGAGAGAGCGGCGUACGGGUGCGGAACACGUGUGCAACCUGCCUUUAUCUGGGGGAUAGCCUUUCGAAAGGAAGAUUAAUACUCCAUAAUAUAUUGAACGGCAUCGUUUAAUAUUGAAAGCUCCGGCGGAUAGAGAUGGGCACGCGCAAGAUUAGCUAGUUGGUGAGGUAACGGCUCACCAAGGCAAUGAUCUUUAGGGGGCCUGAGAGGGUGAUCCCCCACACUGGUACUGAGACACGGACCAGACUCCUACGGGAGGCAGCAGUGAGGAAUAUUGGUCAAUGGGUGCAAGCCUGAACCAGCCAUCCCGCGUGAAGGACGACUGCCCUAUGGGUUGUAAACUUCUUUUGUAUAGGGAUAAACCUUUCCACGUGUGGAAAGCUGAAGGUACUAUACGAAUAAGCACCGGCUAACUCCGUG